rnacentral:misc_RNA from 1 species
GGCUCAUAAAAAUGUUUGGAUUUGGCAAAGGGCAACCUAAUUUGCGCUAUCUUUGUGUGAAAACCCAUUGACCAACCAACAAAUUUAAUGCCUAACAAUGGCCUACACAAAAGCCAUUUUAGGCCACACACAAACAAUGGCCUAUUGAUGAAAUUCAACAUAUAAUUAAGUCACCGUAUUAAUGACCCCGUUGUUAAUGGUUUUCUUCUCUCUCCUAGCUAAUUCCAUUCUUUGGCAUCUACUCUCGUGCUAGUUUCAGCCUCAUCCAUCUUCAAUUUCUUUCUACGAAGGAAUUCAACAAGACCUUGGAAAGAAGCUCCCACAUCACUAUUCUUCUUCAGCUCUCCUAAGACUUCUUCCCGGCUCACUUCAGCGUCCUCUAGGAGCCCUUCAAUCUCUCGAAAAAUCUCGUUAUGUUGAAUUUCAAGAUAAUGGAAGGCUAAUUGCUUGAAUGUGGAGAUGCUACAAUACGGCAUGUGGAUGUUCAUGUCGAUACGACCAGGCCUUAAUAGAGCUGGACUAACCGUUUCUUUGUGAGUCGCAGUGAAAAUUAUGAUACGUUCAUUGCCACAGCAUGACCAAAGUCCAUCCGUGCAAUGGAGUAGCAUUUCCUGUUAAAC